AUGUUUCUGGAACAAAUUAUGCUUGCAAACUGAGGCUUUUACUGUAUUUAGUUUUUUGUACAUUUAAAGUAGCAUUGGGCAUAGUUUGUAUCUUAUACAGUUAGUUUCAGUGCUCUGUUUAUGAGAGCUUUUAUAGUAUGUUAGAGCCAGUUUGGACUUCCAUCCCCAACCAAGUUGGAGGUUGGUAGGACACAAGAGGUUUUGCUCAGACCCAAAUGCCGCUUGAAAAAAAGGAGAAAUAUAAGCCCUUUCUAAUCUCUCUGGGAGCACAAAUGAUUUAUAGAUAUGACAUUUAACCACAAUCCCUUUGAUAUCAUUUGAGUUCAGUAAGGAACAAUUUCUUGAUGUUGUUUGUUUGAACAGAAAUAGCAUGCUUGUACAAUGUUGGGCAAAGAUUUCUUCUAGGAACUCUGAAAAAGAUGAUUAUGUCAGAUAUAUUUGGACACAAUAAAUGACAGUCAUGUUAUUUCCAUCUUUUUAUUUCCCAGGACAAAGGGGCAAAUUCAUUAUAUGAUGAGUGUUGGGGCUUCAGGACAAUACAAGGAAGUUUGGCUGUGAAGAAUUCGUUUGGAUGUUAAUUUUCAUGGACAAUUGACAGACACUAAUGCUGGAAGCCGAGCCAUGCCAGCCUGAGUGGCAAAGCCUGGGAUGUGGACGGAUUGGUGACUGCAAGGCGGCCAACCGACACUGAAGCUUCUUGUACUCCUGCUUUUAGAGGAAGGGUUUGGAGCUGCACGGACAAAUAGAGGAAAGACGGUCAUGGGACAAGAGAGGCAGACACUGAGGCAAUAUGGUUCUGCUGCUGAGAACACCAAGGAUUCCCAACAACCACCAGAAAGAAGCCAGAAGAGGCAAAGAAAGAUUCUCUCCUAGAUCCUACCUGUUGGCACCUUGAUUUGGGACUUCUAGCCUUCAGAACUGUGAAAGAAUAAAUUUCUGUUAUUUAAGCCACCCAGUCUGUGGUAUUUUGUUAUGGCAGCCCUGGGAGAUUAAUAUAGUAUUUAAAUAUAAAGUUUUUUUUCCUUUUUUUCUGUAUCCUCUCUCAACUUGUCCUGGUGGCUUUUUUUUUUUUAAUUUGCUAUGUAAUGUUUUUCUGAAUAAAGGUUUAAAUUAUUGUGA